GAUGCUCAAUCGGUAGAGCCUGAGGCUCUUAAUCUCAGGGUCGUGGGUUCGAGCUCCACAGUGAGCA